UUUAUAUAGAAGGACUGAGAAGCUCAGUUGUGGUGACUUGAGUGUAUAUAUAGAUAUAUAUUCAAACACCAUCUAAAACAAUUUCCACCUCCAGAAAUGAGCCCCCAAAAAAUAUUGGUAAAAAUGUUUAAAUUAUUUGUACCAUGUCAGAUGUUCUAUUAGUCAUAGGCAUUAUCACCUCUAGCCAACUGAUGCUGCAUAGCGGCUAUAACAUGUACAUAGGCUGAAGCAUGGGGUCUGUCCAUCUGCAUUUACCUUACUGGACACAACAUUCUGAAUGUUAUUAUUUUUAAAUAUACAGUACCAGUCAAAAGUUUGGACACACCUACUCAUUCCAGGGUCUUUAUUUUUUACUAUUUUCUACAUUGUAGAAUAAUAGUGAAGACAUCAACACUAUUAAAUAACACAUAUGGAAUCAUAUAGUAACCAUAAAUAUAAAAUAUGAGAUACUUUGAAGUAUCUUAACAAACAGAUUACCGACCAUUUUAAAUCCCACCGUACCUUCUCCGCUAUGCAAUCUGGUUUCAGAGCUGGUCAUGGGUGCACCUCAGCCACGCUCAAGGUCCUAAACAUCAUCAUAACUACCAUCGAUAAGCGACAUUACUGUGCAGCCAUAUUCAUCGACCUGGCCAAGGCUUUCGACUCUGUCAAUCACCACAUUCUUAUUGGCAGACUCGACAGACUUGGUUUCUCAAAUGAUUGCCUCGCCUGGUUUACUAAUUACUUCUCUGAUAGAGUUCAGUGUGUUAAAUCGGAGGUCCUGUUGUCCGGACCUCUGGCAGUCUCUAUGGAGGUGCCACAGGGUUCAAUCCUCGGUCUGACUCUCUUCUCUGUAUACAUCAAUGAUGUUGCUCCUGCUGCUGGUGAUUCUCUGGUACACCUCUAUGCAGACGACACCAUUCUAUAUACUUCUGGCCCCUCUUUGGACACUGUUAACUAACCUCCAGACGAGCUUCAAUGCCAUACAACUCUCCUUCCGUGGCCUCCAACUGCUCUUAAAUGCAAGUAAAACUAAAUGCAUGCUAUUCAACCGAUCAUUGCCGGCACCUGCUUGCCAGUCCAGCAUCACUACUCUGGACGGCUCUGACUUACAUGGACAACUACGUGGAAUAAAUGGACAACUACAAAUACCUAGGUGUCUGGUUAGACUGUAAACUCUCCUUCCAGACUCACAUUAAGCAUCUCCAAUCCAAAAUUAAAUCUAAAAUCGGCUUCCUAUAUUGCAACAAAGCAUCCUUCACUCAUGCUGCCAAAUAUACCCUCGUAAAACUGACCAUCCUACCGAUCCUCGACUUCGGUGAUGUCAUCUAUAAAAUAGCCUCCAACACUCUACUCAACAAAUUGGAUGCAGUCUAUCACAGUGCCAUCCGUUUUGUCACCAAAGCCCCAUACACUACCCGACAUUGCGACCUGUAUGCUCUCGUUGGUUGGCCCUCGCUUCAUACUCGUCGCCAAACCCACUGGCUACAGUUUAUCUACAAGUCUCUGCUAGGUAAAGCCCCGCCUUAUCUCAGCUCAUUGGUCACCAUAGCAGCACCCACUCGUGGCACGCGCUCCAGCAGGUACAGUGCCUUGCGAAAGUAUUCGGCCCCCUUGAACUUUGCGACCUUUUGCCACAUUUCAGGCUUCAAACAUAAAGAUAUAAAACUGUAUUUUUUUGUGAAGAAUCAACAACAAAUCAAAAACUGAAAAAUUGGGCGUGCAAAAUUAUUCAGUCCCCUUAAGUUAAUACUUUGUAGCGCCACCUUUUGCUGCGAUUACAGCUGUAAGUCGCUUGGGGUAUGUCUCUAUCAGUUUUGCACAUCGAGAGACUGACAUUUUUUCCCAUUCCUCCUUGGAAAACAGCUCGAGCUCAGUGAGGUUGGAUGGAGAGCAUUUGUGAACAGCAGUUUUUAGUUCUUUCCACAGAUUCUCGAUUGGAUUCAGGUCUGGACUUUGACUUGGCCAUUCUAACACCUGGAUAUGUUUAUUUUUGAACCAUUUCAUUGUAGAUUUUGCUUUAUGUUUUGGAUAAUUGUCUUGUUGGAAUACAAAUCUCUGUCCCAGUCUCAGGUCUUUUGCAGACUCCAUCAGGUUUUCUUCCAGAAUGGUCCUGUAUUUGGCUCCAUCCAUCUUCCCAUCAAUUUUAACCAUCUUCCCUGUCCCUGCUGAAGAAAAGCAGGCCCAAACCAUGUUUGACAGUGGGGAUGGUGUGAUCAGGGUGAUGAGCUGUGUUGCUUUUACGCCAAACAUAACGUUUUGCAUUGUUGCCAAAAAGUUCAAUUUUGGUUUCAUCUGACCAGAGCACCUUCUUCCACAUGUUUGGUGUCUCCCCCAGGUGGCUUGUGGCAAACUUUAAACAUCACUUUUUAUGGAUAUCUUUAAGAAAUGGCUUUCUCCUUGCCACUCUUCCAUAAAGGCCAGAUUUGUGCAAUAUACGACUGAUCGUUGUCCUAUGGACAGAGUCUCCCACCUCAGCUGUAGAUCUCUGCAGUUCAUCCAGAGUGAUCAUGGGCCUCUUGGCUGCAUCUCUGAUCAGUCUUGUCCUUGUAUGAGCUGAAUGUUUAGAGGGACGGCCAGGUCUUGGUAGAUUUGCAGUGGUCUGAUACUCCUUCCAUUUCAAUAUUAUUGCUUGCACAGUGCUCCUUGGGAUGUUUAAAGCUUGGGAAAUCUUUUUGUAUCCAAAUCCGGCUUUAAACUUCUUCACAACAGUAUCUCGGACCUGCCUGGUGUGUUCCUUGUUCUUCAUGAUGCUCUCUGCGCUUUUAACGGACCUCUGAGACUAUCACAGUGCAGGUGCAUUUAUACGGAGACUUGAUUACACACAGGUGGAUUGUAUUUAUCAUCAUUAGUCAUUUAGGUCAACAUUGGAUCAUUCAGAGAUCCUCACUGAACUUCUGGAGAGAGUUUGCUGCACUGAAAGUAAAGGGGCUGAAUAAUUUUGCACGCCCAAUUUUUCAGUUUUUGAUUUGUUAAAAAAGUUUGAAAUAUCCAAUAAAUGUCGUUCCACUUCAUGAUUGUGUCCCACUUGUUGUUGAUUCUUCACAAAAAAAUACAGUUUUAUAUCUUUGUUUGAAGCCUAAAAUGUGGCAAAAGGUCGCAAAGUUCAAGGGGGCCGAAUACUUUCGCAAGGCACUGUAUAUCUCACUGGUCACCCCCAAAGCCAAUUCCUCCUUUGGUCGUCUUUCCUUCCAGUUCUCUGCUGCCAAUGACUGGAACGAACUGAAAAAAAUCUCUGAAGCUUGAGAUUCAUAUCUCCCUCACUAGAUCUAAGCACUAGCUGUCCGAGCAGCUCACAGAUCACUGCACCGGUACAUAGCAAAUCUGUGAACAGCCCAUCUAUCUACCUACCUCAUCCCCAUACAGUAUUUAUUUAUCUUGCUCCUUUGCACCCCAGUAUCUCUACUUGCACAUUCAUCCUCUGCACAUCUACCAUUCCAGUGUUUAAUUGCGAUAUUGUAAUUACUUCGCCACCAUGGCCUAUUUCUUGUCUUAACUCCCUUAUCUUACCUCAUUUGCACUCACUAUAUAUAGACUUUUUUUUAUUUUGUUCUACUGUAUUAUUGACUAUGUUUUGUUUAUUCCAUGUGUAACUCUGUGUUGUUGUAUGUGUCGAACUGCUAUGCUUUAUCUUGGCCAGGUCGCAGUUGAAAAUGAGAACUUGUUCUCAACUAGCCUACCUGGUUAAAUAAAGAUGAAAUUUAAAAAAUAAAGUAGCCACCCUUUGCCUUGAUGACAGCUUUGUACACUCUUGGCAUUCUCUCAACCAGCUUCAUGAGGUAGUCACCUGGAAUGCAUUUCAAUUAACAGGUGAAUGACUAGCUGUGUCCACACUUUUGACUGGUACUGUAUAAAUAAUGACUAAUUAUUCACUUGAAUUACUAUUAUAUAUAUUUGUUCCAUUUAAGACAAAUUUCUCCUUUGAGAUUUGUUGCCAGGAUGCUUGAAACUCUGGUUGUAACUGAAUCUGUUAAAUGACACCACCUGAAGGAGAAACAGUUGUAACUGAAUCUGUAAAAAGAUGCCACUUGAAGGAGUAAAGAAAUAAAAUGGUAGCAAACUGACGCCUCUCUGGUUUAACAAAGGCCAAAACUGCUUUCAAAAAGGCUUUUCCCGCGAUGGCAUUAAUAAUUGUUGUGCAUUGACAGAGUAUAUGCUUCCCUCCCUAUCACAACCUGAAUGCACCUCGAGCGGAAAACCUUUCAUAUGGAACACAUAACAACAAGCCGACCAGGGAAACGGUGUUAGGUUCUAACACACAACAACAAGCCGACCAGGGAAACGGUGUUAGGUUCUAACACACAACAACAAGCCGACCAGGGAAACGGUGUUAGGUUCUAACACACAACAACAAGCCGACCAGGGAAACGGUGUUAGGUUCUAACACACAACAACAAGCCGACCAGGGAAACGGUGUUAGGUUCUAACACACAACAACAAGCCGACCAGGGAAACGGUGUUAGGUUGUAAAACACAACAACAACAAGACGACCAGGGAAACGGUGUUAGGUUCUAACACACAACAACAAGACGACCAGGGAAACGGUGUUAGGUUCUAACACACAACAACAACAACAACAAGCCGACAACAACAGCGUUAGGUUCUAACACACAACAACAAGCCGACCAGGGAAACGGCGUUAGGUUCUAACACACAACAACAACAACAAGCCGACCAGGGAAACGGUGUUAGGUUCUAACACACAACAACAACAACAACCCGACAACAACAGCGUUAGGUUCUAACACACAACAAGCCGACCAGGGAAACGGUGUUAGGUUGUAAAACACAACAAGCCGACCAGGGAAACAGAGUUAGGUUCUAACACACAACAACAACAACAAGCCGACAACAACAGCGUUAGGUUCUAACACACAACAACAAGCCGACCAGGGAAACGGCGUUAGGUUCUAACACACAACAACAACAACAAGCCGACCAGGGAAACGGUGUUAGGUUCUAACACACAACAACAACAACAACCCGACAACAACAGCGUUAGGUUCUAACACACAACAAGCCGACCAGGGAAACGGUGUUAGGUUGUAAAACACAACAACAACAAGACGACCAGGGAAACGGUGUUAGGUUCUAACACACAACAACAAGACGACCAGGGAAACGGUGUUAGGUUGUAAAACACAACAAGCCGACCAGGGAAACGGUGUUAGGUUGUAAAACACAACAAGCCGACCAGGGAAACAGAGUUAGGUUCAAACACACAACAACAACAGCGUUAGGUUCUAACACACAACAACAAGCCGACCAGGGAAACGGUGUUAGGUUCUAACACACAACAACAACAAGCCGACCAGGGAAACGGUGUUAGGUUCUAACACACAACAACAACAAGCCGACCAGGGAAACGGUGUUAGGUUCUAACACACAACAACAAGCCGACCAGGGAAACAGUGUUAGGUUGUAAAACACAACAACAAGCCGACCAGGGAAACAGCGUUAGGUUCAAACACACAACAACAAGCCGACCAGGGAAACGGCGUUAGGUUCUAACACACAACAACAACAAGCCGACCAGGGAAACGGCGUUAGGUUCUAACACACAACAAC